rnacentral:rRNA from 1 species
AUUGAACGCUGGCGGCAGGCCUAACACAUGCAAGUCGAGCGGAUGAAGGGAGCUUGCUCCUGGAUUCAGCGGCGGACGGGUGAGUAAUGCCUAGGAAUCUGCCUGGUAGUGGGGGAUAACGUCCGGAAACGGGCGCUAAUACCGCAUACGUCCUGAGGGAGAAAGUGGGGGAUCUUCGGACCUCCCGCUAUCAGAUGAGCCUAGGUCGGAUUAGCUAGUUGGUGGGGUAAAGGCCUACCAAGGCGACGAUCCGUAACUGGUCUGAGAGGAUGAUCAGUCACACUGGAACUGAGACACGGUCCAGACUCCUACGGGAGGCAGCAGUGGGGAAUAUUGGACAAUGGGCGAAAGCCUGAUCCAGCCAUGCCGCGUGUGUGAAGAAGGUCUUCGGAUUGUAAAGCACUUUAAGUUGGGAGGAAGGGCAGUAAGUUAAUACCUUGCUGUUUUGACGUUACCAACAGAAUAAGCACCGGCUAACUUCGUG